rnacentral:lncRNA from 1 species
UAUUUAUUUAUUUAUUUAUACGGGCAAGCCCAAUUCGGUAAUACAUUAAUAAGAUAUUGAUAAUUACAGUGUUGAAUAUAUAAGAAUAAAAUAAA